rnacentral:lncRNA from 1 species
GAACUUCACCCCAGCCCUGAGGAGCUCCGUCGCACUAGGAAUCCACUUGGGUGUAGAUCCUCGUGGAGGAUCAACUUCUGCUUUCUUACACUUAAACUUCAUGAGUUUAGGAAUACAUCCUGAUGCAGAUGUCGAAGUCGGUGCAGAUGUCGAAGCCCCUUGUGAAGGAGCAGCUUCUCCUGGUGCAGAUGUAGACUCUGCUGGCUUUUCUGAAGGGAUCCGAGAUGAAUAAAAUAGAUGGAGCAGAUGAUGGUAUUCUCCGGGGGACUUCUUCUUGAAUGAUUUGGAUUCCUCGGGUUGGAUGCCCUUGAAAAGCCCGAGAGCAAG